GGGCCGUGACCAGGUUGGUGCGAAGGACUCGACAUUCCUUCGCUGGGGUUCGAUUCCCCCACGGUCCACCA
rnacentral:tRNA from 1 species